GUAUUCGCUUCGGCGGUACAUAUACUAAAAUUGGAACCAUACAGAGAAGAUUAGCAUGGUCCCUGCGCAAGGAUGACACGCAAAAUCUUGAAGCGUUCCAUAUUUUU
rfam:Clonorchis sinensis DNA, scaffold: 728, strain: Henan.